rnacentral:lncRNA from 1 species
AUCGCAACUGCAGCUGCGCGCUGCACAAGCCAAAAGAUUCACGUCCAGCUGCAUGUUUUCGACAUGGGAAUGUUGCAUUUUCUAAGAAAGGGUCAUGGAGUGAUUGCUCCAUAACUCUAAGCUCCCCCAAAAUCUCGUCGCAGUCCCUCUUUUUGUCCGUUCAUCUUCAGGUAACAACAAAUAAAAACAUAAACCUUUGUUCGUAGAAACAAUGGAAAUUAUGAAGAUUUGUUUAGAAAAAGUUGGUAUUUUAGCUUAGUAGAACUAGAGGAGUACUCUUGUAAAUAUAUGCCUUGACAUAGUACUAAAACGCCUGUAAUGAAAUUUUUGGACAAAGAAAGCACUAGAAUUGAUCACUAUUUCUGUUUACUAAUCAUUCUGGGGUCCAACUAAUUGCAAAUGUUAUUGGGUUCCAGACACAUUGUUAUCGGCAGGCCUCUCAGAAAAUUUCAUUAUUAGUAUAUCAGCGGAAAAUAUAUUGUUAAAUAAUCACAUUAACUACAAAAGUUAGAGCUCAAGAAAGUAGUUAAGUAGGCAUGCUUCGUUUAGAACUACUUUAACAGUUCACAUCAAUGAUUUUUUUAAUAGUAGUGGGGACUACAAGGAAAUAGGUUAGUUUUCUUUUUUGUCCCCUAUCCCUGCAACUCAAAUAUCAGUUAUGUCAUAUACCAUUUUCAUCAUACGUGAGUUUGCUCUGUAUUAAAAAACUACAAAAGGAGAUUACUAUGCAUUGAAUAUGUUGGGGAACAAAAAAGAGAAAACUACUAUUUUAUUAACAAAUCAACUAAGCUGUGUAACAGUGACACGAGUAUGAACUGAGAAUUGUAUUUCCAUAUUUUGAUUAAAUUAUAUUUCUGGCAUAAUGAGUCCAAAUCAAUCAGACUUCCAAAGAAAAGAUUCUGUCGCUUAUAUAGAAGUAAUUUUUCUAGUGUGGUUUGUUAGUUACAGUAUAAAUAUGAACAUUUUCCUAGGGACCGUCACUGCUCUAAGCAUGAUGAUGAAGUGAAGUUUCCUAGAAAAUUAAGUCACAUGUUUGGAGCAUCUUGCCAAGAUGAACUCCUUGGAUCACAAUACCUAAAAGACGCCAAUUACAGAGAGAAACACCUACCAGUUUGCUCCAAAGAUCUCUCAUGUCAACUAAACAGUAUCUCCUAUACUACUUUACACAUCUCCAGUGUAAUCACAUGCACUAAAUAAGCCUUGCAAAGCAUCCAGAGGCUUCGACAUAUAAUUUUGCUAAUAUACUGGACCAAAUUAGAAAAACACAACCACAGAAUAAUUUCUGCACAAAGCUAAAUGUGUAAGCCAUGUGACCUCCUUUCAACAUGGAAACAUUGCAUUUGCUAACCUAAAGUAAUGCAUACGUACCCCAUGCAUCUUAUCACGCGCUUCAGUUACCGAUGACUUUUCAGAAAUAAGGGAAACUCAGCAGUGGUGUUUCAUAGACUCGGAGUGCUUGUGCAUUAUUGUUUUUCAACACAUGCCACUCGUACUCCUUUGUGCACCUGUCAUAAAAAAAGAGCACUAUUCCCGUUCAUUGUUUAUUUGUUUUUAAAUUGAUGAGCUUACAUAACCAUACACAUGUAACAAAAUUUAUAAUGACAAUAUGCAGACAAAAUAACAUCAUGGCAUAAAAUUAUUGGUUUACACUAAAUAAGUAAAUUGUGAGCUUAUAUUGUGCUUCUGAACUAAAGUGAAGGAACAAAUUUAACAUAGUAUAGAUCACCCACCCAUUUCACAAAACCAUGGAUCCCAAAGAAAAGUGAAUUUUACAAGGAGCAGAUUCUUUUGGGGGAAACCAUGAACAUACAACUUCACUUCACAAGUGCAAGAAAAGCAUAACAACCCCUAACCAUAUUAGUUUCCUGUCAUUUUCCUUGUGCUGGAUGAAGAAAUCUGUUAGACAACUGAUACAUGAUACAAAGAAAACAUUUCAAUUUCAGCAAUAAAAACAAACAAACUUACUAAGGUAAUAAAACAGAUCCCAUGCAUGAUAAUCAAGAAAUAAGUUAGCUUAAUCAAGCGUGAUAUUAACUUAGGAAUAUUAACCACUAAUACGACAGCAUAACUAAUUGAUGCAAAACAUUUUUUUCCUAGAUUAAUUCACACUUUAGACAAUCAUUACCGACACCAUACAAUGAAACUUUAAGACAUUGUUUAUAUAAUACAGAAGACAGAACAUUUCACUUUCAACAUCACAAACAAAAUCGAAGGACAGCAGUUUAUGCCUAAAUGUGACAAAAGAGUUUAUAACGAAGGACAACAGUUUAUGUCUACAUGUGAGCAAUGAGAUCUUCUCUAGAUACCAAAAUCAUUGGACUAUUAGUCACCCUAAGCAUAGCACUAUGGUAAUAAAGCAUACCGUUAUUGCUUUUUACAAUAACUAAGAGCAUAUUGUGUGAUUUAAAAUUACAUGUCACAGAUUCAAUAUUGUAUAUGCAUACCCACCAACGAACCCAUCUAUCUCAUACAUUACCAAUAAUCCAAAACAAUAAUGAUUCUUAGAAGAUAUAUUUUGUUUACUUACAUUAAAACAAUGUCUUCUAGUGCAAUUUAUUAGUUUACAAAGUUAAAAAUAUAAUUCCAUCAGAAAAGUCAAUACUCAUAAUCUUGAAAAUAAAGUUGGAGAUACCUAGAGCAAAGUUUGUUAUUUCAAAAGUAUUACUAAAUGGAAUCCUUGGUUACUUACAUAUAACAGGUUGUCUUUAAGAGCAACUUUUUGUUUUAGUAUUAAAACUAUGAGAUUCCUCUGGAGAUGUCACCUUGGACUUUUGAAAAUAAAGAUGGAGAUGCCUAGAAGAGGAAGUUGUUAUGUCAAACAUAGUACACAAACAAUUUCAUGGAACAUAUUACUACUAAAAGACAACAAAUUCUAGGAAGAAACGGUUACCACUUUGCACCAAACAUUUCCCUUGCUAACUAACACUUUCUCCUAGACAACAUAGUCCUCUAAUCAAAAUACGUGCAGUAUAUAAAUCCCUCCAAAAUCCAUGUGAAGGCAUCAACAUAGUUAACUUUAUUCUCACUUCUCAAGUCUCAACCAUAUUACAGAAACAAGAACAAAACUUACAAAUAGGAAAAAAGACAGCAACUAGGGGUGAGUACGGUACGGGUAAAGCCGGGGUUCCCGAGAUCUCCAGAACCAUCCCAAUUUUUGGAUAUUCAAAAUAUUGAGCAACAGGGCAAUGGAUGCAGUAGCAAGUCAUAUAAUGCUUCAAUGUGCCUUCAAUAGUUGUUUAUCAAUGUCUGAUAUGGAGAUUAAGAGAAGGCCAUACCAUCGCAACUGCAACUGCGCGCUGCACAAGCCAAAAGAUUCACAUCCAGCUGCAUGUUUUCGACAUGGGAAUGUUGCAUUUUCUACGAAACUGUCAUGGACUGAUUGCUCCAUAACCCUAAGCUCCCCCAAAAUCUCAUCGCAGUCCCUCUUUGUCCGUUCAUCUUCAGGUAACAACAAAUAAAAAUAUAAACCUUUGUUCGUAAUGGAACUUAUGAAAAUAUGUUUAGAAAAUGUGAGUAUUUCAGGUUAGGAAAACUAGAGAAGUACUCUUGUAAAUUUAUGUUUCAACAUAGUACUCAAACACCUGUGAUGAAAUUUUUGGACAAAGAAAGCACUAGAAUUGAUCGCUAUUGCUGUGUACUAAUCAUUCUGGGGUACAACUGGUUGCAAUUGUUAUUGGGUUCAAGACACAUUGUUAUUGACAGGCCUCUCUCAGAAAAUUUCAUUAUUAGUAUAUAAGCGGUAAAUAUAUAAUUAAAUAAUCACAUCAACUACAUAAGAAGUUGGUGUGGUAAGAAAGUAGAUAAGUAGGCAUGGCUUCAUUUAGAACUCUUCAACAGUUCACAUCAAUGGAUUUUUAAUAGCAGUGGGGCCUACAAGGAAAUCGGUAAGUUUUCUUUUUUGUCCCCUAUUCCUUCCCCUCAAAUAUCAGUUAUGUCAUAUACCAUUUAUAUGUAAGUUUCCUCUGUAUUUAAAAAACUAUAAAAGGAGAUUACUAUGCAUUGAAUAUGUUGAGGAACAAAAAAGAGAAAGCUACUAUUUUAUGAACAAAUAGUAGUUUGGAGUAUGGUUAGGAAAUUAAGAUAAUUAGGUAUAUAUGUUGAGGAAUUGCUAAUUUGGAGUAUGGUUAGGGGUUGUUAUGCUUUUCUUCGGUUUGCACUUGUGGAGUGAAGUUUUAUGUUCAUGAAUUUUUUCCAAAAGGCAAUUCCUACUAAAUCAAAUUACACUCAAGUCAAAAAUUCCAGCUACACUAUUUAUAAACCCUUCAAAUGCAUGCAUUCGUUUCAAGUUAUUAGUUUAUUCAUAACAGUCAGCUAAGUCCCACAAACACCGUAACUAAAAGAAAAGUGCAGAUUGAGAAACAAUGGAUGCAGCGUCAGGUCAUAUGAUCAAUAAAUAUGUCUAUUUUAGUAGUUUAUCAAUGUCUGAUACAGAUAUUGAGAGAAGGCCAUACCACCUUCAUUACAGCUGGGCUUUGCACAAGUCGAAAGCUACACCUACCGCCUGUUUCCAGCAUAGAAAUGUUUCAUUUCUAAAGAAACAGUCAAGGAAUGAUUGCUCUGAAUCCAUAACUUUUUCCAACAGCACUGCACGUUCUUCACUUAUCUCUGCUCUGCCAGGUAGGAGUAUAUCAGAAAGAUAUGAACCAGUCAUAUAGAUAACAGAAAUUAUACAGUUUAGGAAAUGAAAAGUAGCUAGAAGUUGUUUCUCAAAGCAUCAACUGCUCCUGCUCCUUCAUUAAAAAGUUGUGUACGGAGCGAUUACAAUCCUCUCUUUCACUUCCAUCUUCUCAGUUUAGCUAAAUGUAUAGAGUCCGUGUCUUUUAUAUAAUAUCCAAAUGAUACUCUCUUUUUUUAUCAAUUCAUCCUCCUAAGAACAUGUGCUUCAUUUUCACAAAUUUACAAAUAUUUUUUUAUUUAAAUCCAUUCCUCAAAAAUGCUAUUUUAGUUAUUGAGCACAAAAAAAUUAGUUGCAUGUAUGUCAUCUACUCAAAAAAAUUAGUUGCAUGUAUGUCAUCUACUCAAAAGGCAACAUUCCCAUGUUUUCGACAUGGGAAUGUUGCCUUUUCUAAGAAACGGUCAUGGAGUGAUUGCUCCAUAACUCUAAGCUCCCCCAAAAUCUCGUCGCAGUCCCUCUUAUUGUCCGUUCAUCUUCAGGUAACAACAAAUAAAAAUAUAAACCUUUGUUCGUAGAAACAAUGGAACUUAUGAAAAUUUGUUUAGAAAAAGUUGGUAUUGUAGCUUAGUAGAACUAGAGGAGUACUCUUGUAAAUUUAUGUCUCGACAUAGUACUCAAACACCUGUAAUGAAAUUCUUGGACAAAGAAAGCACUACAAUUGAUCACUAUUGCUGUGUACUAAUCAUUCUGGGUACAACUGGUUGC